rnacentral:rRNA from 1 species
AGUGAACGCUGGCGGUAGGCCUAACACAUGCAAGUCGAACGGCAGCACAGUAAGAGCUUGCUCUUACGGGUGGCGAGUGGCGGACGGGUGAGGAAUACAUCGGAAUCUACUUUUUCGUGGGGGAUAACGUAGGGAAACUUACGCUAAUACCGCAUACGACCUACGGGUGAAAGCAGGGGAUCUUCGGACCUUGCGCGAUUGAAUGAGCCGAUGUCGGAUUAGCUAGUUGGCGGGGUAAAUGCCCACCAAGGCGACGAUCCGUAGCUGGUCUGAGAGGAUGAUCAGCCACACUGGAACUGAGACACGGUCCAGACUCCUACGGGAGGCAGCAGUGGGGAAUAUUGGACAGUGGGCGCAAGCCUGAUCCAGCCAUACCGCGUGGGUGAAGAAGGCCUUCGGGUUGUAAAGCCCUUUUGUUGGGAAAGAAAAGCAGCAGGUUAAUACCCCGCUGUUCUGACGGUACCCAAAGAAUAAGCACCGGCUAACUUCGUG